AGCAGCCGCGGUAAUUCCAGCUCCAAUAGCGUAUAUUAAAGUUGUUGCAGUUAAAAAGCUCGUAGUUGAAUUUCGGGAUUAGUACGUUGGUCGUGCCUUGGUACGUACUGGUGUAACUGAUUCCUCCCUUCUGACGAACCGUCAUGCCAUUAAUUUGGUGUGGCGGGAAAUCAGGACUGUUACUUUGAAAAAAUUAGAGUGUUUAAAGCAGGCUCGCGCUUGAAUACAUUAGCAUGGAAUAAUGAAAUAGGACGUUAAUCCUAUUUUGUUGGUUUCUAGGAUCGACGUAAUGAUUAAUAGGGAUAGUUGGGGGCAUUAGUAUUCAAUUGUCAGAGGUGAAAUUCUUGGAUUUAUUGAAGACUAACUACUGCGAAAGCAUUUGCCAAGGAUGUUUUCAUUAAUCAAGAACGAAAGUUAGGGGAUCGAAGACGAUCAGAUACCGUCGUAGUC
rnacentral:rRNA from 1 species